UUAGGGCAGAGGUUUUCACAACUGCUGACACCUCUCCAUCUUCACCUGGCAUGGAAGGCAGAAGGCAGACGUCUGUAGGCCAUCUGGGGGGCUAUUCCCAGGUCCUCUUUCUCAGCACACCUAGAUCCCAUGGAUUGUGAGCCCAGGUCCCACUGAACAUUAAGAGAUUCACGAAGCGAGAAUAUGUAUGAUGCCUCAGAAGCCGUCAGACCCAGAGAUGAGCUGGAGGGUCAGGUCACUGCAUCUUCCUUGGAUGUCUGAAUCUUUACCCUCAUAGCCUUCCAAUCUGUCCAAAAAGCCAGGAGGAGAGAAGCCAGUCUCUAGAAGAAUAAUGGUAUAACACCCAGAGGUUGAAUUGGGAGCAAUUAGGAACAAUUUCCAUAUGAACAGCUUUGUGGUCUGUGAGACUAUACUUGGGGCUCACUGUGAAACCCCGAAGCAAGGUAUUCAUUUGCGUUGGAAAAGAAACAACAGACGGAUGUUCCAUAUACAUGUUGAAGCCUAAAAUUACAAUAACUACAGAAGGCAAGUAACACAAGAAAGAAAAUAACUGGAAAAAACAAAAUGCAGGAAAAUCGAGAGACGGGGGUUAGGGUGAAAGCAGAAAGCAGCUUCUAUCGAGGCCAAAUUCUGGAACUUCUUGCGUGUUGUUUAUUUCCCUCCCCCAGAAGGCCGGCUGCUGCUGCUCUGCAGACAUCAGUGGACUAGAUAUGAAGUGCUGGUUUGCAUUUGCAGGGAUUUUGAAUUAGAAAAUUCUUAUUUGUCAAAAUGUAAUGCUUUCUCAUGCUGCAGACUGUGAGGAAAUAUUUGCAAGACACACAUCUCAUAAAGGACUUGUAUUCAGAAUAAAUAAAGCACAUUAAAAACUCAGCAAUAAGAAGAUAAACAACUUGAUUAAAACAUGGGCAGAAAAUCUAAAUAGAAAUCUCACCCCGGAAGAUGUACAGAUGCCAAAUAAAUACACAAAAAGACACCCAACGCUGUUAAUCAUCAAGGAAAUGCAAAUUAUGGCCAUAAUGAGAUAACACAACACAUCGACUAGAAAGACUAAAAUUAAAAAGAUUGACAAUGCCAGGUGUUGGUGAGGGUGUGGAGCGACUGGAACUCUCAUGUACUGUGGGUGGGAAUCUAAAAAUGGAAAAGUUUGGAAGUUUCUUUUAGAGUUAAAUAUACACUUACCCAAUGUAUAAAUGACUCAGGGAUCCCACUUAUUAUUAGUUAUAAAAAACCCCAAAGUAGAAACAAUCCAGAUGUCCCUCGGCUGGGGAAUGGAUAAGCGCACCGUGGUGAAGCCAUACGAUGGAAUAUCACUCAGUAAUAAAAAGGAAUGUGAACUACUAAUGCAAGAGGCUGAAUCUAAAGAGUGUUCUGCUAAGUGAAAGACACCAGACACCAAGGCCUAAGCGUUGUGUGAUCCUAUUUACAUGAUGUUCUAGAAAAGGCAAACCUGAUGGUGAAAGAAAGCAGAUCAAUGGUGUUGCCAGGGCCUAUAGGCAGGAAAAGGGAUAGAAUGCAAAGGGGCAUGAGGGAACUUUUUGGAGGGGAUAGAAACGUUCUAGAUCUUGAUUGUGGUGCUGGUCGGCAAAUAUACAUAUUUGUCAAAACUCAUCAAGUAGCACACACUUUUAAGUCGUUUCAGUGAUGAAUUUUAUUGUGUAUGAAUUUUUUUUUUAAUUUUAUUUAUUUAUUUAUGAGAGACACACAGAGAGGCAGAGACACAGGCGGAGGGAGAAGCAGGCUCCCUGCAGGGAGCCCGACGUGGGACUCGAUCCCAGGACCCCAGGGUCACGACCUGAGCCAAAGGCAGAGGCUCAACCACUGAGCCAUCCAGGCACCCUUAUUGUGUAUAAAUUGUACUUAAUAAAGCUGAUGAAAAUGUUA